UACGUAGGGGGCAAGCGUUGUCCGGAAUCAUUGGGCGUAAGGCGCGUGUAGGCGGUUCGGUAAGUCUGCUGUGAAAGUCCAGGGCUCAACCCUGGGAUGCCGGUGGAUACUGUCGAACUAGAGUACGGAAGAGGCGAGUGGAAUUCCCGGUGUAGCGGUGAAAUGCGCAGAUAUCGGGAAGAACACCCGUGGCGAAGGCGGCUCUCUGGGACGGUACUGACGCUGAGACGCGAAAGCGUGGGGAGCGAACAGG
rnacentral:rRNA from 1 species